rnacentral:rRNA from 1 species
AUUGAACGCUGGCGGCAUGCCUUACACAUGCAAGUCGAACGGCAGCACGGGUGCUUGCACCUGGUGGCGAGUGGCGAACGGGUGAGUAAUAUAUCGGAACGUGCCCUAGAGUGGGGGAUAACGUAGCGAAAGUUACGCUAAUACCGCAUACGAUCUAAGGAUGAAAGUGGGGGAUCGCAAGACCUCAUGCUCAUGGAGCGGCCGAUAUCUGAUUAGCUAGUUGGUAGGGUAAAGGCCUACCAAGGCGACGAUCCGUAGCGGGUCUGAGAGGAUGAUCCGCCACACUGGGACUGAGACACGGCCCAGACUCCUACGGGAGGCAGCAGUGGGGAAUUUUGGACAAUGGGCGCAAGCCUGAUCCAGCCAUGCCGCGUGAGUGAAGAAGGCCUUCGGGUUGUAAAGCUCUUUCAGGUGGAAAGAAAACGCAUGGGUCAAUACCCUGUGUGGAUGACGGUACCAUCAGAAGAAGCA